AUGCUGAAAGCUGGGUACCGAAAGAGAUCUUUCUACGGUGGACCAGACUACAAAUGUACCAGCUGUGGUGCAGUCUACUGGUUUGAGGAGAGGGUGAGAUCGGAAUCCGCUAUUACGCUAAGGCGGGUGGUUUACAACAAAUGUUGUAAGGGUGGUAAGGUGUAUAUUACACCUUUUAAAAAGCCACCUUUGUUUCUCUCUGAGUUGCUGAGAUACAAUGGUCCCUCGCGUAGCAGAGAGUUUAUAAAAAAAAUUCGCCAGUACAACUGUCUCUUUGCAUUUACUUCCAUGGGAACUACUAUUGAUCGUUCUGUAAAUGAUGGUAAUGGUCCAAAUAUAUACAAAAUAAACGGGCAGGUUUGUCAUCGAAUGGGAUCUCUUAUGCCUAAGGAAGGAAAUAUCCCCAAGUAUGCCGAACUUUAUAUGUAUGAUACCCAGAAUGAGGUGCAAAACAGGAUUCAGGCUUUAGAAAAGGGUGAAAAGAGUGAUGGUGGUUUAGAUGAAUCUAUUGUUGAAGGCUUGAUGCAUAUGCUUGAUAUGCACAAUUCUUAUGUCAAAACGUUUAGAUCAGCUAGAGAAAUACUAGCAGCCAAUAGGCAUGCCGAGAUAGCCAUUCGUUUAGUUGCCCCUGGAGAAUCUGAUGGCCCACAGUUUAGCCUCCCUACAACUGAUGAGUUGGCAUCUUUAAUGUUUGGUGAGUUCACGAUGGAGGCUUCUUGUCGUGACAUAAUAAUACACGGUAGAGAUGACAAUCUGCAGCAAAUAUCUUCUUUGCAAACUUCAUACAUGCCUUUGCAGUAUCCUCUUCUCUUUCCCUAUGCAGAACAUGGGUUUCAGCUCGGGCUUAAAUAUAUUGGUUCAAAUCCUUUAGAUACUAGCAAAAGAACCAGGCUCACUAUGCAGGACUAUUAUUCCUAUUGUCUCCACUAUAGACCAGAGCAGCAUAAUCCAUACCUUUGUUGUGGUUUGCUUUCCUCACAGGCUAUUGUAGACGCACGCGCUUGCAUAGACGAGUGGAGGCUGCAUUUCAUUAUGAAGGCUAAUAAUGAUCUUAGAGCAAAGAACUUGCAAGGAGUCACUGAUGUUGUUGGAAAAGGGCAGACAGAUGCAAGUUCUGUUGGCAAAAAAAACAUACUUCCAUCCUCUUUUACCGGUGGCCGGCGUUAUAUGAUUGAGAACUUCCAGGACACAGUAGCUAUUUCACGUGUCUUUGGCCCACCAGACCUUUUCACCACCUUAACCUGUAAUACCAAGUGGACUGAAAUAACAGAAGCCCUGUCUUAUGAGCCUGGACAGAUGCCUUCAGACAGGGCAGAUCUUCCGGUCAGGUAUCACAUGAAGCUCAAUGACUAUAUUCAUGAUAUUAAGAGUGGGGAGUCCUUUGGUCCUAUCGUGGCGGUACUACACAAUGUGGAGUUCCAGAAAAGAGGGCUUCCUCAUGCCCAUAUCCUGAUCUGGCUUGAUAGGAAAAAACGGGAGAUGGCGCAUCAGUUGCUCUCUGAGAUACACAACCACAGUAGGAAGUGGGUUGUCUCUGUCCUUGUCUCGCGCCUGUGGUUC
rnacentral:rRNA from 1 species